rnacentral:rRNA from 1 species
UUUGAUCCUGGCUCAAGAUGAACGCUAGCUACAGGCUUAACACAUGCAAGUCGAGGGGCAUCGGGAAGAAAGCUUGCUUUCUUUGCCGGCGACCGGCGCGCGGGUGAGUAACACGUAUCCAACCUGCCCUUUACUCGGGGAUAGCCUUUCGAAAGAAAGAUUAAUACCCGAUAGCAUAAUGAUUCCGCAUGGUUUCAUUAUUAAAGGAUUCCGGUAAAGGAUGGGGAUGCGUUCCAUUAGGUUGUUGGUGGGGUAACGGCCCACCAAGCCUUCGAUGGAUAGGGGUUCUGAGAGGAAGGUCCCCCACAUUGGAACUGAGACACGGUCCAAACUCCUACGGGAGGCAGCAGUGAGGAAUAUUGGUCAAUGGGCGCUAGCCUGAACCAGCCAAGUAGCGUGAAGGAUGAAGGCUCUAUGGGUCGUAAACUUCUUUUAUAUAAGAAUAAAGUGCAGUAUGUAUACUGUUUUGUAUGUAUUAUAUGAAUAAGGAUCGGCUAACUCCGUGCCAGCAGCCGCGGUAAUACGGAGGAUCCGAGCGUUAUCCGGAUUUAUUGGGUUUAAAGGGAGCGUAGGUGGACUGGUAAGUCAGUUGUGAAAGUUUGCGGCUCAACCGUAAAAUUGCAGUUGAUACUGUCAGUCUUGAGUACAGUAGAGGUGGGCGGAAUUCGUGGUGUAGCGGUGAAAUGCUUAGAUAUCACGAAGAACUCCGAUUGCGAAGGCAGCUCACUGGACUGCAACUGACACUGAUGCUCGAAAGUGUGGGUAUCAAACAGG